ACUUUCCUUUCUAAUACUAAGAGAGAACAUUGUAGAAACUGUCCUUGUAGUCCUGGCUCUCCCAUUUGCCAAACUCCACUGUCGCCUUCGUAGGAUUCACCCGGCAUAUCUUCAUUUUGUUCAUUUUGUUCUCUAUCAUAUCGCUGUGAAAAGACAGCUCUGAUGCUGAGGAGGACGGACAUUUAAGACAGAAAAGGAGCUGUAAUGUGAAGCCGCAGAAAAGAGCUGUAAUGUGAAGACGCCAUGCUGUAAAGAACUGGUAAGGCUGCUUAACUCCCAGGCAAGCAUGUGAUAUGUGCAUUGUUGCUGAGCAGUGACAGUCCAGGUGUAUUAACAGAAAUGUCAGGGGAAGGGAGGCUUUAGGUGUUCUCUGAACCCAAAGCAAAGUUCCCUUCACGGAGCUAUUCAAUUAUGACCGGAUGUAUAUGAAGUGCAUUGCAUGGUACUUUUUUGUCUGUGCUAUAAACCAUUGGAUGGGAUGUCCAGCCUAAACUCCAGUAUUUGCCAUUGGGGCAGUGCCCAAAUCUCAAUAAGAUAACUAAGCACACAGAAACAGUACAUAUUCUUUAAUGAAUCAGUAGCUAUCUGUAAAUAGGUUGCACUACACAAACAGGAUUGAGAAAACAUUUAAAACUAUGUAUGUGCAGUCUACUCUACUUGCAACACAAAUUUAUUAUAUAAAUGAAGGCUCAAACAUACUGGCCCAUAAUGAUUUCACAGCCCAGCCAUUGAAGGAAUGUAAGUGCCAAAAACAGGAGUUGUGGGUUUCACCUGAAUCAUCCUUACAAUGUAAAUAGACGCAUUACCCAAUCGUGAAUAAUUUUGCUUCCAACGAGACAUUCCUUUCUUACAGGUUUCAUUUUCAAUCACCACACAUGUGGAUUGUACAGGUAUUGGACCUGUUAUCUAGAAUGCACAGGACCUGAGGUUUCCUGGAUAAGGGAU